rnacentral:lncRNA from 1 species
CGUUAUCGUGCAAGGCUCCAUCCCCGGGCGGCUCACUCCCAGGUCCUCUUCCUCCUCAGCUCAAUGCCAGGAUUUGAAAUAGCCCAGAUGAAAGGGCCCGGCCCCCGCCUCCCUCCCCCUCUGAAUUCAUGUAUUAUGAAUGAAAAGCCAGCCCCGCUGCUUCCCGAGGUCUCCACUUCAGGGCCUUGCUAUGUAGUUCAGACUGACCUUGAACUCACUAUGUAGAACAGGCUGGCUUUGAAUUCCUCCUGCCUCAACCUCCUGAGUGCUGGGAUUAUAGACAUGCACCACCAUGCCCAGCUCCACUGUAAUUGGAUCUUGAAGAAUGAAGAACGUACCAGGAAGAAAACAAGAAGCAAGAAAGAAGCUUUGUGUUCUAGGACAUGGAAACUGGAUUGAACUCAGGACCUUUCACUUGCAAGAACCUGUUAAGGUAGCAAUGUGGCCUGUUACAAGUAUUCUCAAGUAAGAAAAGUGCUCAAAGAAUGAGAGGAACAUGUUAAUAGGACACAGAAGCCAGCUUCAGGGCAUUCCUGAUGGCCUAUCUG